GCCAGGUGUGGUGGUGCAUGCCUGUAAUCCCAGCUACUCAGGAGGCUGAGGCAGAAGAAUCGCUUGAACCUGGGAGGCAGUGGCUGCAGUGAGCCAAGAUCGCACCACUGCACUCCAGCCUGGGUGACAGAGUGAGACUCUGUCUCUG
rnacentral:SRP_RNA from 1 species